rnacentral:rRNA from 1 species
GACAGAGGUGCCAAGCGUUAGGCGGAAUCACUGGGCUUAAAGCGUGUGUAGGUGGAUUUGUAAGUACCUUGUGAAAUCCCAUGGCUCAACCAUGUAACUGCUCGGUAUACUGCGAAUCUUGAGCCACUUAGGGGCUACCGGAACAAAUGGUGGAGCGGUGAAAUGCGUAGAUAUCAUUUGGAACGCCAAUGGUGAAAACAGGUAGCUGGGAGUGUGCUGACACUGAGACACGAAAGCCAGGGGAGCGAACGGG